AACAUGUCCAGAUCAUUUUCCGUAGAAAACCCCGAGAGGGUUGUUUUGUAAAAUCUACAAACUGUGAACAUUAUCGAAGCAUUGCAGAAGCCCAGGGACAGUUAUGAAUAAUUAAUUCAUAAUUGUUUAUGCCCGGGAAAUUCCAAUCAGCCAAAAGGGAAGCUUGAACUUGAAGGUCACAAACAUGUGCAAGAUUGCAGAUCCACGUUGCCUCGUCUGAUGUCAUGUCGUGCAGUGAGCAUGAGAAAAACAACCCUACUUUACCCUAGACUAGAAAAAAGACUGGAGGUCAGAAUGCAGGAUGAUUGAGCAAGGAGUGCUGGCAGAUGGACUAUUGAGGU